rnacentral:rRNA from 1 species
GAUGAACGCUGGCGGCGUGCCUAAUACAUGCAAGUCGAGCGAACGGACGAGAAGCUUGCUUCUCUGAUGUUAGCGGCGGACGGGUGAGUAACACGUGGAUAACCUACCUAUAAGACUGGGAUAACUUCGGGAAACCGGAGCUAAUACCGGAUGAUAUUUUGAACCGCAUGGUUCAAAAGUGAAAGACGGUCUUGCUGUCACUUAUAGAUGGAUCCGCGCUGCAUUAGCUAGUUGGUAAGGUAACGGCUUACCAAGGCAACGAUGCAUAGCCGACCUGAGAGGGUUAUCGGCCACACUGGAACUGAGACACGGUCCAGACUCCUACGGGAGGCAGCAGUAGGGAAUCUUCCGCAAUGGGCGAAAGCCUGACGGAGCAACGCCGCGUGAGUGAUGAAGGUCUUCGGAUCGCAAAACUCUGUUAUUAGGGAAGAACAUAUGUGUAAGUAACUGUGCACAUCUUGACGGUACCUAAUCAGAAAGCCACGGCUAACUACGUG